rnacentral:rRNA from 1 species
UACGGGGGGGGCAAGCGUUGUUCGGAAUUAUUGGGCGUAAAGAGCUUGUAGGCGGUUUGUCGCGUCUGCUGUGAAAUUUCGGGGCUCAACCCCGAACUUGCAGUGGGUACGGGCAGACUAGAGUGUGGUAGGGGAGACUGGAAUUCCUGGUGUAGCGGUGAAAUGCGCAGAUAUCAGGAGGAACACCGAUGGCAAAGGCAGGUCUCUGGGCCACUACUGACGCUGAGAAGCGAAAGCAUGGGGAGCGAACAGG